CGCCCCCCCCCCCUUCCUUCUUCUUUCUUUCUUUUCUCUUCUUUCUUUUCUUCCUCUUUUCUCCAAACCGAAACCCAUUUUUUCCGGUGAAACCACCGCCACCGGCCAUUAGAGGAUCUUCUUUUCCUCCUCUUGCAUCUAAGCUCGUUUUGAUCGGUGGAGGAAGAUUUGAAGGUGUUUGAGACUGUGAACAGUACCGUGAACAGACGUACUGAGCCCUCGAGCGAGGAGGACACGGGCAGGCAGCAGGUUUAGCUGCGAGACUACUUGUAUUAAGUAGAUGCUUGGGGAAACGGGGUGAACCUACUAGAUAAAAUAAUAUUUUUCUUCUACUAUUUCUAGUGAAUACCUGUACUGAUUCGAAUUUUGCUUAACUUUGGUUAUGUAAAUAUAUUACCGAUAUUUGUUUUCUAAUAAAAGUACUAUUCAAACA